rnacentral:lncRNA from 10 species
CAGGCCUCAGCAUUAAUGCUACCUGAAGCUUUCUCUAAUCCUCAUUUAAAUUAGUUCUGUUACAAACUUUCAAGUUGCCAUAUUCUUUCAUAACAUUAACACAAAUUUUGUAAACAUGUAUUUGGUGGUUUGUCUAAUUUCUGUAUCCAUACUACGUUUAACCUCUGUGAGGACAAGGGAGCAUGUUUCUUGUUCAGAAUUAUAAAUUAGUCCAGUCAUAGUCCCUGGCACAUAAUAUUGAAAUUAGUGAAUCGUGUGUAUCUUCAUAAACAUACUGUUUGUCCUGGUAGAGCAAAAAUUGUCAACCUGGGAUUCAUGGACAACCAAUGAUGUGAAAAAAACCCAGUAAUUUCCUGCAAGAUUCUGUGCUUUUCCUUGGAGGGAAGUCCCUGAAUUUCAUGGGACUUUCAAAAGAACUGAGACAUUCUGACCCCCAGAAAGAAAGACCCACCACAGUGAUAAAAGAGUUCCAAAGCUUCACCUCCAGCUUUUUACUGUCUCUCCCACCGCCAGUAUCUGUGACACUGCCGUAUCAACAUACAGCAAUCUCCUAAUUUGAAUAUAAUCAAGAACUUUUCCACUACCUGUUUGGAUGGAGAAACUGAUUAAAAAAACGUUUCUAGAAAGCAUACCUAGUUAAGUGCCAGUGUCUUAAACCACUAAUAUGAUCAGUGAUAUAUCUACUCUAUCAGGC